CCUGAGCCGAAGGCAGAGGCUUAACCGACUGAGCCACCCAGGCAUCCCUGGGUGUGUUUUCCAAAGUGCCUUCAUAUACACUCUCUGAUCCGGUUCUGCAGGUUCCAACACAUGUGGAAGAGCCUGCCUUCCUCCCAGAUCCCAAUGAUGGCAGCCUGUAUACGCUUGGGGGCAAGAAUAAUGAAGGCCUGACG